UACGUAGGGACCAAGCGUUGUUCGGAUUUACUGGGCGUAAAGGGCGCGUAGGCGGCAUGACAAGUCACUUGUGAAAUCUCUGAGCUUAACUCAGAACGGCCAAGUGAUACUGUCGCGCUAGAGUGCAGAAAGGGCAAUCGGAAUUCUUGGUGUAGCGGUGAAAUGCGUAGAUAUCAAGAGGAACACCUGAGGCGAAGGCGGGUUGCUAGGCUGACACUGACGCUGAGUGCGCGAAAGCCAGGGGAGCAAACGGG
rnacentral:rRNA from 1 species